rnacentral:misc_RNA from 1 species
AUAUGCAAUAAUAUAACAUAUUCAUGUUCUAGUUACAUACAACUUAAUAGAUCAUGAAAUGAUGCAUGAGAAUGAAUUUGAGUUUAAUUAAAUAAGUUUCUAUUCAUUAAGGUUAUGUUACUCACCUCUUAUGGCCUAUCAACCACUAGACACAAAUGGUUGUUAUCCUCUUAACCUUGGAUUCCCGAGUCUCUCAAAUUUGAUCUUAUAAAAGUCAGACCUUAAUAAAUUAUUCAAAACUCUAAAACACUAUACACAUAACAAACAACUUAAUCUAGGUCCUUUUGGGUCAUAAAAAUAAGUUUUGGAGCCUUAGAAUAAAAGGGAAAAUAAGGCUGACAGAACCAACUUUAGCUAUCAAAGUAAGAAACUUUGGCUGCCGAAGCCUUAACCUUAAAUACCCCCUUUUUAGGCAGUAAUGAUUGCGACUGCUGAAGUACUGAGCUUCUCUACUCCGACUACCAAAGUUAGGAACUCCGGCUACCCAAGUUGGGAACUUUGGCUGCAAAAGUCUUGAACUAAAAAAAAAAAAAAAACUAUCGAGAAGCUUCAGCUGUUCUGGCUGUCAAAACUAUGGUUUUCGGCAGCCAAAAAUGAAAAUUUUUAGAAUUCCCAAUUUGAAUUAUGCAAAAUCCGAUUUGCCCAAAACUCAUUUAUACUGCAUAAUCAUGUUCCAAAACUUCCUAUGAUCAACUCAAUUUACAUCCAAAACAUGCAAUAACUUAAAAAAUCAUUCAUGGAUGCUACAUGCAUCCAUCCAACAACAAACCACCCAAGAUUUUCUCAAUUCAUUAAAAAAUGCUAUAAAGGAGAAACUACAUAAAAAAAUCUAACUCAAACAACUUUAACAUAGUUCAAACCCAAACUCCAUCAUCAUUAUACAUAUUCUGAACUUAUACUAGAACUCCAAAACCAACAUGCAUUUAAAGAUUCCUUAAAACCAUCAACAUGCAAAAACCCUCAAAAUAUCAAAAUUGAUUCAAAAAGCUAAAACCACUCUUUUCUUACAUGCAACCCAAACUACUCAAAAUCACUCAUGAAAACAUUCUUAAAAAUAAUUUUGAUGGUUAAAAAAGGAAAGGGAAGUACUGUUAGAAUCCCUUAAUUAGUGCA